CGCGGGUGCGCGGUGCGGCGCUGGUAGCCUGAGGACGCGGCAACCGAGGCUGGCAUUUCUUGUUCUGCGCUUCUCCCCAAGGACCCUAUGCUAGGCAGGCGCCCACCGUAAGCCUCCCGGGCCUUGUGAACCUGCAAACCCAAGUCCCAGAGACGAUCCGCCUUCGGCGCUUUCCGGCUUGGCAGAGGGGUUUUCCUGGCGGGGAUCUUUGGUUCGCGCUGGCGAUGCGCGGGGAAGAAAGGCGAGGAGCGGCGUCCAGGCUGGGUGCUGUCCCAGCGCGAGGAGGCGGGAUGCGCUCGCGGGGUCCGCGGGGCGCCCAGUCCCCGCCCUCGUCGCGCGCCCACCCCUGGGGAAGAGAAUGCGGCCGCUUGGGGACCCCCGCCCGCGACCUCCGCGAGUCUGGAGCGCAGAGGACAGGGUCUGGACCAGGCGCUUUGGCCUUGGAUGGAAAGUGGGGAAUUGGGUGGGGGGCUGCGGACCCCUUAACGUGGAUUACUUGGUGUGUGUCAGCUGGGCUCAGAAGACCCACGAUCUCCUCUCCGUCCGUGGAUUGAUUCGUUCUACUUAACAGCUGGGUCGCCAAGCUGGAGGAUGGGAAGGAGGACUGAUCCACGUUCCCACCAGGAAGCUUAGUGGAACCCCCGUAUGCCACCUGGACCCCCUGGAAGGACCUGGCCAAGGCUGAACCACCUCUUGAGAGGCAAGAGCUCCAAAUUUGAUCAGAAAUUCUUGGCUGGGCAUGGUGCCUCAUGCCUAUAAUCCCAACACUUUGGGAAACCGAGGUGGGAGGAUCGCUUGAGCCUGGGAGUUCAAGACCAGCCUGGGCAAUAUAAGGAGACCCCAUCUCUAAAGAAUAGUAAUAAUAAAAUAAAAAAUUAGCAGGGCAUGGUGGCAUGUGCCUGUAGUCCCAGCUACCCAGGAGGCUGAGGCAAGAGGAUGGCUGGAGCCUGGGACGUUGAGGCUGCAAUGAACUGUGAUUACCCCACUGCACUCCAGCCUGGGCAACAGAGCGAGAGACCCUGUCUCAAAAUAAUACUACUAAUAAUCUUAUUUUGGAGAAUAAAGAAACCUCUGGAUUUGAGGAGCCAUUUGGAUAGAAAGCAAAGACCUUCACAAUGAGAAAUAGUCUGUGUUGACCUGAAGGAGCAGAGGGAUGCAUCACUGGAGGUGACCUACAGUUGGAGAAGACUCAUUAUGCCAGACCUUGUCCUUCUUCCUUGUGGAAAAUGUUUCCCCUGCUGCUGCUGCUCAUGAGACUCUUCCCCCUCCCUGUCUCAGGCAACCAAAGGGCUUUCUACCACACCCUUUCUUGCCCCCCGCCUCCCAUGUCUGCUGUGCCUUUGUACUCAGCAAUUCUUGUUUGCUCCAUUAUCUUCCAGCCGGAUACAGAGUGAAUAGUUAACCACACUUAGGUCAAAUAGGAUCUGAAUUUUUGUUCCUGCUCCAUCUAAAGAGGCCAGUGUUUGUGCGUUGCAAGCAGCCUCGGAAUAGUAACUCUUCUCAUUUGUUUGGGAUCUCAUUGUAUUCCUCAGCCAUCAAGUUCCAGAAUGAUACAUGGAUCAGUGCAGAAGUUCAUCAGGCUCUCGGACCUUAGGGCUGUUGGAGAAGUCUUCAGCAGGGGAACUGAUGGUGAAGGCUGGUGUUCUCCAUCCUCAACUUUCUUUGCUUGGAUCACACAUAAGUAUACAUUUGGAAGGGCAAAAAAUGAACACUGUUGUUCACUGCAGCCAUGUUUUGUGACACAGAUGCAGUCUGCUGUGAAGACCUUCUCGCAAGUGGCAGUUGGGGGUCCAUGCCAGAUCAUGGUGCUUCGUGACAGACUAACAGCUACCAGGGAUGGUGGCACUUAGUGAGGACCCUCCUCCCCCAGUGUGUGCUGAUGACACAUACACACCUGACAAUAGCUUGAGUCUUCUCUGU
ensembl:lncRNA